rnacentral:rRNA from 1 species
AAAGGCCCGAGUUGAUGGUCACCGGCGUAAAGAGUGAUUAUAGCAUGUUAAAAUAACUAAAGCCAAAGCCCUUCCCGGCUGUCAUACGCACCCGAAGGCAUGAGGCCCCUACACGAAAGUAGCUUUAACCACAAGACCCCUAGAACUCACGACAGCCAAGACACAAACUGGGAUUAGAUACCCCACUAUGCUUGGCCGUAAACCUUGAUGAUAAAACACAAAUAUCAUCCGCCAGGGGACUACAAGCGUCA